CGUUGUUACGUAAACGCAUGCGCACUGUUAUCAUUUAGAGCAGAUACUGUUCAAGUUUCAAUGAGAGCGGGAGGUGUUUAGAUUGAAAAUCAUGAGGGCUAAGUGGAGGAAGAAAAGGAUGCGUAGAUUGAAGCGCAAACGUAGGAAGAUGAGGGCAAGAUCCAAAUGAGACCUGCAAAUAGACCAGCGACACCAUGGUGACUGGCAGCUUUGUUAAGCUUCAUCUUCGUCAUUAAAUGGAAGACUGAAGCUUUCAUGUUUCAAGAAUUUCCUGUUUGUUUUAUCAGUUACUGAACUUUGUUAUGGAAUGCAUUUAUUGCAAUUUUUGUCAUUUGAAAAUAAAAUUGUUUUGAAUACA